GGGUUGUGAGGUUAAGCGACUAAGCGUACACGGUGGAUGCCCUGGCAGUCAGAGGCGAUGAAGGACGUGCUAAUCUGCGAAAAGCGUCGGUAAGGUGAUAUGAACCGUUAUAACCGGCGAUGUCCGAAUGGGGAAACCCAGUGCAAUUCGUUGCACUAUCGUUAACUGAAUACAUAGGUUAACGAGGCGAACCGGGGGAACUGAAACAUCUAAGUACCCCGAGGAAAAGAAAUCAACCGAGAUUCCCCCAGUAGCGGCGAGCGAACGGGGAGCAGCCCAGAGUCUGAAUCAGCUUGUGUGUUAGUGGAACGGUCUGGAAAGUCCGACGGUACAGGGUGAUAGUCCCGUACACCAAAAUGCACAGGCUGUGAACUCGAAGAGUAGGGCGGGACACGUGGUAUCCUGUCUGAAUAUGGGGGGACCAUCCUCCAAGGCUAAAUACUCCUGACUGACCGAUAGUGAACCAGUACCGUGAGGGAAAGGCGAAAAGAACCCCGGCGAGGGUGAAAAGAACCUGAAACCGUGUACGUACAAGCAGUGGGAGCACCUUCGGGUGUGACUGCGUACCUUUGUAUAAUGGGUCAGCGACUUAUAUUCUGUAGCAAGGUUAACCGUAUAGGGGAGCCGCAGGGAAACCGAGUCUUAACUGGGCGUUAAGUUGCAGGGUAUAGACCCGAAACCCGGUGAUCUAGCCAUGGGCAGGUUGAAGGUUGGGUAACACUAACUGGAGGACCGAACCGACUAAUGUUGAAAAAUUAGCGGAUGACUUGUGGCUGGGGGUGAAAGGCCAAUCAAACCGGGAGAUAGCUGGUUCUCCCCGAAAGCUAUUUAGGUAGCGCCUCGUGAACUCAUCUUCGGGGGUAGAGCACUGUUUCGGCUAGGGGGUCAUCCCGACUUACCAACCCGAUGCAAACUACGAAUACCGAAGAAUGUUAUCACGGGAGACACACGGCGGGUGCUAACGUCCGUCGUGAAGAGGGAAACAACCCAGACCGCCAGCUAAGGUCCCAAAGUCAUGGUUAAGUGGAAACGAUGUGGGAAGGCACAGACAGCCGGAUGUUGGCUUAGAAGCAGCCAUCAUUUAAAGAAAGCGUAAUAGCUCACUGGUCGAGUCGGCCUGCGCGGAAGAUGUAACGGGGCUAAACCAUGCACCGAAGCUGCGGCAGCGACACUAUGUGUUGUUGGGUAGGGGAGCGUUCUGUAAGCCUGCGAAGGUGUGCUGUGAGGCAUGCUGGAGGUAUCAGAAGUGCGAAUGCUGACAUAAGUAACGAUAAAGCGGGUGAAAAGCCCGCUCGCCGGAAGACCAAGGGUUCCUGUCCAACGUUAAUCGGGGCAGGGUGAGUCGACCCCUAAGGCGAGGCCGAAAGGCGUAGUCGAUGGGAAACAGGUUAAUAUUCCUGUACUUGGUGUUACUGCGAAGGGGGGACGGAGAAGGCUAUGUUAGCCGGGCGACGGUUGUCCCGGUUUAAGCAUGUAGGCUGAUUGUCCAGGCAAAUCCGGAUAAUCAAGGCUGAGGUGUGAUGACGAGGCACUACGGUGCUGAAGUAACAAAUGCCCUGCUUCCAGGAAAAGCCUCUAAGCAUCAGGUAACAUCAAAUCGUACCCCAAACCGACACAGGUGGUCAGGUAGAGAAUACCAAGGCGCUUGAGAGAACUCGGGUGAAGGAACUAGGCAAAAUGGUGCCGUAACUUCGGGAGAAGGCACGCUGGUGUGUAGGUGAAGUCCCUGCGGAUGGAGCUGAGACCAGUCGAAGAUACCAGCUGGCUGCAACUGUUUAUUAAAAACACAGCACUGUGCAAACACGAAAGUGGACGUAUACGGUGUGACGCCUGCCCGGUGCCGGAAGGUUAAUUGAUGGGGUUAUCCGUAAGGAGAAGCUCUUGAUCGAAGCCCCGGUAAACGGCGGCCGUAACUAUAACGGUCCUAAGGUAGCGAAAUUCCUUGUCGGGUAAGUUCCGACCUGCACGAAUGGCGUAAUGAUGGCCAGGCUGUCUCCACCCGAGACUCAGUGAAAUUGAACUCGCUGUGAAGAUGCAGUGUACCCGCGGCAAGACGGAAAGACCCCGUGAACCUUUACUAUAGCUUGACACUGAACAUUGAGCCUUGAUGUGUAGGAUAGGUGGGAGGCUUUGAAGCGUGGACGCCAGUCUGCGUGGAGCCAACCUUGAAAUACCACCCUUUAAUGUUUGAUGUUCUAACGUUGGCCCCUGACCGGGGUUGCGGACAGUGUCUGGUGGGUAGUUUGACUGGGGCGGUCUCCUCCCAAAGCGUAACGGAGGAGCACGAAGGUUAGCUAAUCCUGGUCGGACAUCAGGAGGUUAGUGCAAUGGCAUAAGCUAGCUUGACUGCGAGCGUGACGGCGCGAGCAGGUGCGAAAGCAGGUCAUAGUGAUCCGGUGGUUCUGAAUGGAAGGGCCAUCGCUCAACGGAUAAAAGGUACUCCGGGGAUAACAGGCUGAUACCGCCCAAGAGUUCAUAUCGACGGCGGUGUUUGGCACCUCGAUGUCGGCUCAUCACAUCCUGGGGCUGAAGUAGGUCCCAAGGGUAUGGCUGUUCGCCAUUUAAAGUGGUACGCGAGCUGGGUUUAGAACGUCGUGAGACAGUUCGGUCCCUAUCUGCCGUGGGCGCUGGAGAAUUGAGGGGGGCUGCUCCUAGUACGAGAGGACCGGAGUGGACGCAUCACUGGUGUUCGGGUUGUCAUGCCAAUGGCACUGCCCGGUAGCUAAAUGCGGAAGAGAUAAGUGCUGAAAGCAUCUAAGCACGAAACUUGCCCCGAGAUGAGUUCUCCCUGAGACUUUAAGUCUCCUGAAGGAACGUUAAAGACGAUGACGUUGAUAGGCCGGGUGUGUAAGCGCAGCGAUGCGUUGAGCUAACCGGUACUAAUGAACCGUGAGGCUUAACCUUACAACGCCGAAG
rnacentral:rRNA from 1 species